rnacentral:rRNA from 1 species
GAUGAACGCUGGCGGCGUGCCUAAUACAUGCAAGUCGAGCGAACGGACGAGAAGCUUGCUUCUCUGAUGUUAGCGGCGGACGGGUGAGUAACACGUGGAUAACCUACCUAUAAGACUGGGAUAACUUCGGGAAACCGGAGCUAAUACCGGAUAAUAUUUUGAACCGCAUGGUUCAAAAGUGAAAGACGGUCUUGCUGUCACUUAUAGAUGGAUCCGCGCUGCAUUAGCUAGUUGGUAAGGUAACGGCUUACCAAGGCAACGAUGCAUAGCCGACCUGAGAGGGUGAUCGGCCAAAAUGGAACCGAGACCCGGUCCAGACUCCUAAGGGAGGCAGCAGUAGGGAAUCUUCCGCAAUGGGCGAAAGCCUGACGGAGCAACGCCGCGGGAGUGAUGAAGGUCUUCGGAUCGUAAAACUCUGUUAUUAGGGAAGAACAUAUGUGUAAGUAACUGUGCACAUCUUGACGGUACCUAAUCAGAAAGCCACGGCUAACUACGUG